AUUCUCUAUCUCAGUCUUGGUUCAUGUCUACCCCUCUUACCAAUAGGUGUUCCCACUCCGUAACCUUUGGAGUCAAUGAGGCCCCCGAUCUGAGUGAGGUUGCAGUUUCUCUGCGUCACAUACUCAAUGCUGGUGGACUCCAUCAGCAGCGCGUAGUCUGUGGUGAGCACUCUCUGGAUCCCCUCAUCACUGUUUCUUACCAGGGCGGUCUGCUGCCUGCUGCUCAUGAAAGCCCACAUCUUCUCAUAGGUGGAGAUUUUUGAUUUCUGGAGGGAAAGAAAACACACUCACCAGCAGAAGAGGGCUGGAAAAAUACGACCUAAAGAUCAUCUGCCGAAUCUAUGGGGGAUUCCAUUCUCUCUACUGUCAAGAAGGCAGCCAGAUUGGCCGUGUAGGAUGAAAUGAUGAUUAGGGUGAAAAACCACCAUAUCCCUCCAACUAUUCUGGUCGAUAGAGCUUUGGGCAUCAGCUCUGAUCCUGUGAUGGUAUCAUCAGAGUAAGGGUGUUAAACACAGUCAGAAGGAAAGGGAAGAUGUACAGUUCGAC
rnacentral:lncRNA from 1 species